UUGAUCAUGGCUCAGGAUGAACGCUAGCGGCAGCUUAAUACAUGCAAGUCGGACGGCAGCACGGGUAGCAAUACCUGGUGGCGAGUGGCGCACGGGUGGUAACCGUAUGAACCUACCCUUGACCGGGACAUAACCUGGAGAAAUUCGGGCUAAUAUCCCAUAAUAUAUAGAGUGGGCAUCUACUUUAUAUUAAAGCAGCGAUGUGGUGAAGGAUGGGCAUGCGUCCCAUUAGCUAGUUGGUGAGGUAACGGCUCACCAAGGCGACGAUGGGUAGGGGUUCUGAGAGGAAGGUCCCCCACACUGGUACUGAGACACGGACCAGACUCCUACGGGAGGCAGCAGUAAGGAAUAUUGGGCAAUGGUCGGAAGCCUGACCCAGCCAUGCCGCGUGCAGGAAGACGGCCCUAUGGUUGUAAACUGCUUUUGGCCGGGGAUAAACCUCUCGACGUGUCGGGAGUUGAAGGUACCGGUCGAAUAAGCAUCGGCUAACUCCGUGCCAGCAGCCGCGGUAAUACGGAGGAUGCAAGCGUUAUCCGGAUUCACUGGGUUUAAAGGGUGCGCAGCGGGCGAAUAAGUCAGGGGUGAAAUCCUACAGCUUAACUGUAGAACUGCCUUUGAUACUGUUUGUCUGGAGUGAAGUUGGAGUGGGCGGAAUGUGUUAUGUAGCGGUGAAAUGCUUAGAUAUAACACAGAACACCGAUCGCGAAGCAGCUCACUAAACUUUAACUGACGCUCAUGCACGAAAGCGUGGGGAUCAAACAGGAUUAGAUACCCUGGUAGUCCACGCUGUAAACGAUGAUCACUCGCUGUUGGCGAUAUACAGUCAGUGGCUAAGCGAAAGUGAUAAGUGAUCCACCUGGGAGUACGACCGCAAG
rnacentral:rRNA from 1 species